rnacentral:miRNA from 1 species
GAAGUGCUGGGUGUUUGGGUGA